rnacentral:rRNA from 1 species
GCCUGGUUGAUCCUGCCAGUAGCAUAUGCUUGUUUCAAAGGCUAAGCCAUGCAUGUCUAAGUACAGUCGUGUUUACACGGCGAUACCGCGGACGGCUCAUUAAAUCAGUCGUGGUCCAAAUGGGUCCGUCCUCACGGUAUACUUGGAUAACCGUGGUAAUUCCAGAGCUAAUACAUGCAACUCAUAUCCCGAGGUGCGCAAGCACCGACGGAAGCACUUAUUAGACCAAUGCCCUCGGCGUCGUGCGCCUUGUGCGUGCGCACGUUCGCCGCCCGCAUAAAUGGUGACUCUGGAUAAUUACCUGGACGAGCGCACGUAUCUGUUCAAGCAGAACGGCGCCGCCUCUUUCGAGUGUCUGCCUUAUCAGCCAUCAAUCGCUCGUUAUGUGCGAACGAUGGCCUUGACGGGUAACGGGGAAUCAGGGUUCGAUUCCGGAGAGGCAGCCUGAGAAACGGCUACCACGUCUAAGGACGGCAGCAGGCACGCAAAUUACCCAAUCCCAGAACUCUGGGGAGGUAGUGACGAAAAAUAACGAUGCGGGCGCUCCUUCUGGGGCCCCGCAAUCGGAAUGAGUAUGUCUUAAAUAACCUGUCGAGAACCCACUGAAGGGCAAGUCUGGUGCCAGCAGCCGCGGUAAUUCCAGCUUCAGUAGCAUCUAUUAAAGUUGCUGCGGUUAAAAGGCUCGCAGUUGGAGCCACUGGUGUUUGGUAUAUGGAGUAGCUGGACGUUGGGUACCUCGUGUCCCCGUCCUGUUGUCUGCUCCUGACUCUAUGGCACUGAAUAUGGGAAAACCUCGUGCGGCUUGGGCGUUUGCUCAGAGGCGUGGUCGCGUCGGGCAUGCGCGUGCCUGUCCGUGUGUGCUUGCAUGCACGCCGGGCGUGUCGCUGUGUGUUGGCGUUGGCGCCCUCUGUGUCCUUGCUCGCGCGGGGUGACUUCUGUGUCACCUUGAGUAAAUCAUGGUGCUCACAGCAGUCGUGCGGGCCUCGUGCCCUGUGAACAGUCUUUGCGGACUGAAUUGGUUUUGCAAGGCAUGACGAAACAUGACGUCGCUGCUGGUCGCGGGCGGAGGGCUUUGUUGGCCCUGCGGUUUGCCAGUAGUGACGUAAUGAUCAAUGGAGACGGUAGCUGGCAUUGGUAUUGCGCGGCGAGAGGUGAAAUUCUGCGACCCCCGCAAGACCUCCUAAAGCGAAGGCGUCUGCCAAGGACGUGUUCACCAAUCAUGAACGAAAGUCAGAGGAUCGAAGGCGAUCAGAUACCGCCCUAGUUCUGACCCUAAACGAUGCCAACCAUCAAUCCGCGUGAGCACCCUAUCUAACGGGCUCGGCGGGCAGCUCCCCACUACCGGGAAACCAGAGUUUAUGGGUUCCGGGGGGAGUCUGGUUGCAAAGCUGAAACUUAAAGGAAUUGACGGAAAGGCACCACCAGGCGUGGAGCCUGCGGCUUAAUUUGACUCAACACGGGCCAUCUUACCAGGCCAGCACUCUGGCAUGAUUGACAGAUUGAGAGCUCUUUCUCGAUUCAGUGGACGGUGGUGCAUGGCCGUUCUUAGUUGGUGGAGUGAUCUGUCUGGUUAAUUCCGAUAACGAACGAGACUCUCCUCUGCUAAAUAGUCGGCUGGAUCUUGAAUUGCUGAGUUGCUCAUUGCCAUGUUCGCGUGCGUUUAGCUUCGGCGUGUCCUGGGUCUCGUUUGGUUGGGGCGUUUCGUGCGUCUGCGUUGCCUUUGCGGGCGCGUGGCGUGUGUGCGUCGUCUUCCUGCGGGCUCGGUGGCGCGUUUGGGGCGGCGUGUUGUCGGGCGUGUGUCUUUGGCACUCCAAGUCCGUCGGCUCACACCCGCGAAAGCGGGUUGUGUGGUGCAAGUUCUUCUUAGAGAGAUUGACGGCUCUGAAGCCGUACGAGAAUGAGAGCAAUAACAGGUCUGUGAUGCCCUCAGAUGCCCUGGGCCGCACGCGCGCUACAAUGCUGGACACAGCAGGUCUAGCCUGCUCCGAGAGGAGCGGGUAACCCUGUCAAAGUCCUGAGUUGUGUAUCGGGCAUCACAUUCGUGGUGCAUUGGGCGUGCUUGGGCCUGGGGCUUGCAAUUCUUUCCCACAAACAAGGAAUGCCUUGUAGUGGCGAGUCACUGAGCUCGCUGUGACUCAGUCCCUGCCCUUUGUACACACCGCCCGUCGCUACUACCGAUUGGGUGUACCAGUGAGAACCUUGGACUGGCGUCCGGUGCCUCGCGCACCUGGGUCUGACGGAAAGAGGUUCGAACUGGUGCACUUAGAGGAAGUAAAAGUCGUAACAAGGUUUCCGUAGGUGAACCUGCGGAAGGAUCAUUA